GCGGCUGUGGCGGCCGAGCCGGGGGGUGGUUCGCGCUGUGCUGCUCGGCCGCGCUGCGGUACCGACCCGGUCCGGCGACCGGCCCCGCUCCACGGCGGGCAGCCCGAUAGGCACAGGGAGCGAGGACCGGGAGCUGGAUGGCGGUGUGGAGGCCUGAGGCGAAGGCUAAGCCUGCCCCUCCCCGGGCCGCCUUCAGCGAGCUUCGGCGCGGGUCUCCGCGUUGAGAGAAGUGAUGAGUCAGGUUUGCUCGGCUCCAUGCUAAUGCACGGAGAUGGAGGGUGUAAUUAGUAGAGAGGCAGGGCUGUGAUCUGCAGCGCGGGGCGGCCGGGCCACGCACCUCCUCUGUGCUUCAGAGCGUCGCUGAAGUUCUCCUUGUUUCGUGCUCCUCCAGCCCCAACGGUGUAUAUGCAGGGUUUGGUGGGAGCAGAGCCACAGACGUCGGAAGGUGUCUGUGUGUGAAGCACCCCGCGUUAUGUAAUUCUGAUGUUGAAAGAUGACGGUAAGAAGGAUUUGAUUUAGUCAUGGAAACUGAAUAUUGCGGCUCCCCAAAUCUCUAAGAAGUCUUAGGAUGUUGCAUACAGCGUUCUCAAGGUUUCUCCCGUCCAAGUAAUUGUAAAUGGCCCGCUUGAGAGCUGUGAUCUGCUUUAUAUGCUUUCAUCCAUUAGAAUACCUCUUGUCUUUGCAAAACGACACAUUGUGUAAUUUAGGCAACUGGCUGGGCUAAGAAGGGCACAAUGAAGUGAGUAAUUUACAUCUCUUAGGGAGAUUAAUUGAACCCAGCUCUGGUCGUCUUCAAGAACUACUGAGAAGUUUCUCGGCAAACUUCUCCACCCGAAGUAAAAUCACAGCCUCCGCCACCUUGCCCCUUCCAGCAGCUUCUGAAGGAAUCUUCACCUCAAACAGAGCUGUCAGCAGCAGUGAGGGCUGCCACUCACCAGUCAUUUCAAUGCGGAAAGCACUCGAGACACAGCAACAGGCAACAGAACGCAGCGCUCACAGAGAAACAAAUUGACAAGUACCCACGACUGGACAUCCUCAGAAACACGGUUGUGUCCUGUUCCUCUCCACUGCAGUUAUUCCCACUCAGAGUGACCACUUCAGAGCUUUAACAAAGCCCAUUACAAACGGGAACAUUUUCCGUUAGCCAAGUGAGUGUGAAAGUAAAGCUGACACGUAAGGCAACUUACAAUUGGAGAAAUUUGAUAUCUAGUCUCUGUUCUGCCACAAACUUCUUGUGAGAGGAGGAGGGACAUACUCUCCCAGAUGCCUGAAGUACUCUGUGAACUACCUCCCUUAAACUAUAAGCACUUAAGUACCUUUGUGGCUCCCAGACUUGCCAUUCAGCUGUUUAGUGUCUGAGAACUCUCAAGAGAAACAUACACUUUGUGUUUCAUUGUUUCUGGAAACAAUACAGCAAAUAGAAGUCGACUAACCUACUUUCCUGCACUCCCCCAACAAAUUCUCUUGCAUAUCUAUUCUGAAACUCUUUUUUUUUCUUCUCUUUUCUUUAUAUAAUCAGUUUUGAUGCCUAAUGGAAGUGGAAAAAGUACCUAACUGGGCCAGAUGCAGCGCAUCUCCAGUAUCAGUAUUAAAUAAUUGAUUGACUAGAGACCAUUUAAAAAAAAAAAUGUCAAGAUACCUGAGGCCUUUGUCUAGAUGCAGUAUUUUGAAAUGAGUUGUUAGGAUCCCCAUAGCACAGAUCAUGUAAAAUGCUGUAUAUGUGCUUAACUUAUGCCAUCGGCAAGGUCCUGAUGCCUGGCAAGACAUGUGCAUUGUGUGACUGAAUUUAAGCCCUUGGCUUGUUCCCUUUCAAGUUAAACAAAUGUGUAACUUCUGCAGGUCUUUGCACAAGCUGUCUUCUUUGUGAACACAGCCACAUUCCUGAAAGUUCUCCUUGUAAAUUUAUUUCUCAAAAGAAAUAUUACAAAAAGUAUCUGGUACUCCCUUCACCAUUACCUGUCAGCUUCUAUGAUCCAACUGUACCUUAGUUGUUGUCUACUGCUGUGCAUUUCUUUCAGUUCCUGUCCAGUUACUGAAUGGUAAAGGAAAGCAGAAUCCUGAAGUUAUGAGGUAAUUAAGUUACCAGCAGCCUGGCACCUUGACCUGCCCAGAAAUCUUAAGGUGGUGGUGAAUUCUACAAACACAAUCGGUCUUCUCUGCUGAGGUCACCCAAAGAGGCUGCCAGUUAUUGCCAUGCAUGGGAAAGGGGGAGAAUUUUUUUCUUGAUGGCAUGUACCACAGUGGCUUGAGACCAUCACAUCCUUCCAGACAGAUCACUGACCUGCCAAGUCGGAUUUGCUUAAGUGGUUACCGGUUUCAGCAGAAUUUUAUCAUUGGUGAUUGAAAAUUUUGUGAAGUUUUACAACCAAAGAGUAAUACUAAUUAAUAACAGAGGAACACGCUUCCAAAGGAAAGUAGGGUUUUCUCUGCCUUCUUAAGUAUUCGGGUGCAUUCUUGAGAGACAUAUUACAGCCAGGCAUGGGUUCUGUGCUCACUGUAGGAGUAACCGAAUGAGAUGCGAAAGCCAGAGUUCACCUAAUGCUUUAUGCAGCCUUUGAGCUGGUUCAAAUCAAUCAGCUAAGAGAUGUAGCCCAUCAAAACACCAAGCUGUCUUCACCCCUGGUAAUGAGCACCUACACCAUGGUGGGAUGCCAGAUUUGAACUCACUUUGUGGCUGUGAAAUUUCUGCCUGGACUUUCCUAAUGAGCAAGUAGAGAGCGGUACGGUGCAUCUCCACUGCCUUCCAGAAAGCACUGCACCCAACAGCCAUCAGCUGAAAACCAAUCUGUCCACGCAAGCUAAGUCGGAAGAUGCUGCGUAGAUGGGCUGUGUCCUGGAAAAUUCCACCUGGCCGUGGUGUGCAUGCAGAUGCUACUGGAGUGCUCAGUAGGUCCACAUCUGUUCUUCCUGUGAUGCAAACCUGCUGUAGAAGGGCACAGUUCUUUCACUCUCCAUACAUAAGUACAAAAGCUUGAUGCUUCCUGAAAAGGUCGGAUUGAGAAGAUCAGUGCUGUAAAACUGAACUAGUUAUGCAGUGGAUGUGUUUGCAAUUCAAAGACCUCCAGCAGCUCAGAGAGAAAGGAAAGGAUGAGGCAGCUGCCACGCAAUAACUCAGACUGGACUGCUACAAGACUAGAGAUUUCAUAAGAAAUUAAAAGAUCCUCAAAUUUUGUUCAUUAAAAACAAAGCAAAACAAAACAAAACAAAAACCCUUCAGAAGCAGGAGAAGGGGAUAUGUGAGCACCUAACUAGAGACUUACCCACUCUCCCCAUCUGACUGCCACUCUAAAGCCCUGUGCAAGUGUCAGAUGGGUGACUGACAUGCUACAUGCCUUUCAUUUCUUGAGUCUAUGAAUCAUUCAGCAGAGCCAUAUGAAACAUGGAUAGAUAGGAAAAUUGAUAUGGUUUCUCAAAGGUCAGAAAAGCCAGCACAUUACCAGCAUGUCAAACAAGUGACAGUCCUGCAUUCAUUAUCACCAGGCUUGGUGCACCAUUUUAGCAUUGUUUGCACAGGACUUUUAUUGCGUUCUUUGAGGAAGGAAGGGCAGCAGAUAAAGUUUGUGCCCUGACACUACAAAAUGACUUCCCAUCCUCAAAAUUACACACGCAAAUUUGCAAAAUGAGUGUUCAGAUAAUUACAUGAGAAGGCAAGAUGUCAGAGUUUGUGGAAUUCUUCCUCGAGGGUGGGGGCACACACUUUUUCAUUAGCAGCAUUUAAACCCUGACUAGAUAAAGCACUCUUAAAUUAUGUUUAUCGUAUGAAACAAUUACAGCCUGGCCAGGAGAACUGAACUUGCCAACUCAAUAGGCUUUUUAAAUAUCUAAUUUCUUGGACAAAUACGUAAUUCUAAAAAACAUUACAUCACUACCCAACCAAGAAAUCCUUUCUCUCUCUGUUUUUCUGUGGUUUGCACGAUAAUUUGCUAAAUACAUUUCAGCGUGUUGUUUACUUCAGCUCAGCCUUCUGAGACCACACAGGCCAAUGCUGAGACAGUAAAUAGGGAUCAUCUAGAAAAAAAAAAAAAAAAAAACAGGUUAUGCUUCAAGUUGAGUUGGGAAAUAUUCAAGUUCACUUUGGAAGUAUUUUGGGCCAUACAAUUUUGGGGGGGUGAUACACUGGGGAAAUGCAUUAAUUGAAAGAAAAUCCAAAAAGCAUGACACAGGUAGCCUUGUUAGUGGUCUUCCUCCUGAUUCAGGAGAAUUAUAAAUGAUCCCCUGUAACGUAUUCUUGUAGAUGUGAAUCCUGUGAACAAAUGCUGGUGAGUCCAGGAUUUGAGGUCUGCACAACAGCUGCUGACUCAUCAGGAUUUUGUCACUUCCCUGAAGAUGUUGCUGAGUGUUGGCUUUGGAUCUCAGGUGUCCCUCAUUAAGAACUGCCUAUUUUGCCUCAAACCCUCUUGUGGCAGCCAGGCUGCUGAGGAGCCAAGAGUUCAAAAGCUGAAGGGCUAAAAAGAGGGCAAGCAAGAGGGAGCUUUGGUUCAGUUGUGUGCCUGGCCAGCCUUUUUUUUUUUUUUUUUUUUUGCACAGAUGUCUUUGUCUUGCUGGAAAAAAAGUUCUCAAGCAGCAGAACUUGUCUGUUCAUAUUUUGCAAAUGAAACACAUGGUACGGCAUGAUGCCAUGUUAAAGAUGGAGCUGAUCAGUGAAAUUAGCUUCCGUUACUCACUGGCAAUGGUAUGGCUUUCAUUAUUUUCACAACAAAUACAAAACUCAGCAGCCUUUAGGAUAUGGCACAUAAUUAAUGUCCAUUUCCCAUUGAAGCCCCCCAAGAUAUGACUCUAAGUACAUUGGAAGAUGAGGCUGAAUUGUAACACAGUUUUAUUCUUUGUUUCUGGACAAAGAAGGCUGAAGUGAUGAAACAUUUGCAUCUGUUUUAAACUUGGCUUAUUUCAUUUUUAAUUUUUUUUUUUUUUAAUCCCACUGCAUUAUUUUUCUGACGGCUACACCCUGAAAAAACAGGUUGUCAGUGCAAGCAGGGUUUUCUCAGAAGGUACCCACAAGAAGCAAUUAGACGUGUGAGCAAAGGCAGUCAGCACAUGGGAUCCUCCCCAGCGAAACAGGCUCAGCGCUGAAGGCUCGUCUGCAUGGCAUGUUUCUUCUUUCAUCGAACACCAGCAAAAUGCCAGGAACAUUCCUGGACAGGAGAAAUCUUGAAUUCUGCAAUUCAGCCUUAAAGAAACACUCCUCUGGGGAACUGCCCAACUGCCUGAUGGAAAUGAGUGACUCCUGUAUGCAGAUCUGCCUUCGAAGACUCUGACCUAUUUCAGCCCAGCUUUGCAGAACACACAAGCUCUAUUUAUGAUGCUGCAGGAAGGGAAAGGCAGGGUGCAAGCAAUGCACCUUGCUCUGCUGGGAAAGAGCUGGCAGCCCCAGCUCCAGCAGUGAAGCCCCGCAUCAGGAGAUGGUGGGACCUGGCUCCUGUUGGGGCAAUGAGUAACAUCAUCACAUCUGACUGAACCUCUGGCAUGUAGACUUGACUACUUACUCUUGCUGCAGAAGCAUUUAUAUUGACACAGAUUCAGGAAGAUGCUGCACAGCAGAAUCAGGGAAACAACUGUUUUAUAAGCAGAGUGAUGCCUUCAUACAGCACAACAGUGUGAUCUGCGAUGGAAAACAUAACAGGACUGUAUUCCACAGCAAGGUCAUGUUUUGAGAAUUUUAUUCGUCCUCAUUUCUAUUAAAGUGUCUUUUUACAGGGAGAAAUAACUUCUUUUAGUUAUGCUGUAUUGCUCUUGAAACUUAACCUUCCUCUAGCUGGGCUCUAUAAAUCACGGAUUUUCUUAUAAACAGAUUACAGAUCCGCUUACAUCUUUGUAUUAUUUGGCUCCUUCAUUUCAGAAACAGUAUGGGCCAUAUUCUCCCCUGGCAUAGCUCCAUUCCCAGUAUUCUUAUUUUGAGGAUGCUGGGCCAGAUUCCUGAUCUCUCUGCUUUGUCAAUGGGCGCUAAGAGCCAUGCUGCUGCGAUCACUGCUGUCACAUAUCAGUAACACCACUCUGCUGCUGAGCAGAACAUAGCCCUCUGCUUAAACAGCACUUUGAUCAAGUGAAAUAAGGAAAAUAUUGCUGAAUGUAGCCUUCAGCAUAUUACUUGUUCUGCUGAAAGAUCAUCCGCUCUUGGCUUAGCUUAUUUCAAGCAUGACAGUCCAGGAAAAAGAGUGUACCUGUGAGUGAAAUAAGACUCAGUGGGAGUCAAUAAGACCCAAAGUAUUGCGGUAUUCAUAAAUGUAUAUUUGUGCUGAAGCAUGCUAAACCUCAAAGGCUGGAUAUAAAUAUCAAUGUCUAUUGAAUUUCAGGAAGAGAUGGCUGGUGGAAAGCAUGCCCGAUGCCGUUCUGCAAUGUGCAACCCUGUUUACACAGGGGCUAUUCAUAGGCACGUUCCUGCUGCUGGGCAGGGAAUUUGCCUCUUCCCAGCCAGCUCAUGCAAAGCAAAUUCUCCUCUAUAGUUCUCAGGCUGGAAAUUUAGCUUCCCUUGAAGUAAAGCAGCAGUGCUGUGCUUCCAUGCAAGCGAUGGGCCAGCUGAAGGUGCGGGACAAGGAGCUGCCCAAAACCUGCCAAAGGACAAAAGCAGCUUCAUAAAGGCAGAGGUCAAAAUGGCACUGAUGUCUCCUUGUGAUCAAAUGCAGGCUGCACUUCUUUAAUCAGAAAAUGUGCCACAGUUGGAAUCCGGCAAAAUGAAUUCUAAGCACGUCCCUUCUGCAGCCAGUUUUCCUUCUGCCCACUGGGACAGUGGAGAGAUGACACAGUUCAGAAGUAAACCCACAGCACGGAUUUGUGAUUCUGUCAGAUUGGAUUCUCCUUCCCCACUCCUGGACUUGCUCUGGAGGUCUCUAGGCUUUAUGAAGCUGUAAUGGACAAGGAGAGCACUGGGGAAUUAAAGCCCACCUGCCUCCUGCUAUCCCCUUUCAGGGCUUUUUGGACUGGUGCUUCCUGGAGCUAGUGAGAUCCAUUCAUGAAAGGUGCUGAAUGGCAAACACAAAAGUCCAGAAAGAGUAGUUGUCUUAGGAGUUAUCGAGAACAGUGCCUACUACUUGACAAGCUGCAGAGAAAGUAAAGCCAGAAAAUGCCCACAUUGAGAACAAAGCUGAUGUGACGACUGAGUGCCUGAGAAUGGCACCAAUGGGAAGAGCUCAGCACGGC
rnacentral:lncRNA from 1 species